rnacentral:tRNA from 1 species
AAUAGUGUGCUUGAAUAAAAGGCCGUCUUGAUAGGGCGGAUAAUGCGAAAUCUUCGUCACUAUUA